GUAAGGAAUAUUGGACAAUGGACGCAAGUCUGAUCCAGCCAUGCCGCGUGAAGGAUUAAGGUCCUCUGGAUUGUAAACUUCUUUUAUAAGGGACGAAAAAAAGGCUUUUCUAAGUCGUCUGACGGUACCUUAUGAAUAAGCACCGGCUAACUCCGUGCCAGCAGCCGCGGUAAUACGGAGGGUGCAAGCGUUAUCCGGAUUCAUUGGGUUUAAAGGGUGCGUAGGCGGGCAGGUAAGUCAGUGGUGAAAUCCUAGAGCUUAACUCUAGAACUGCCAUUGAUACUAUCUGUCUUGAAUAUUGUGGAGGUAAGCGGAAUAUGUCAUGUAGCGGUGAAAUGCUUAGAUAUGACAUAGAACACCUAUUGCGAAGGCAGCUUACUACGCAUAUAUUGACGCUGAGGCACGAAAGCGUGGGGAUCAAACAGGAUUAGAUACCCUAGUAGUCC
rnacentral:rRNA from 1 species